UGUCUAUAAGUUGUCAUGGGCAAAGGAAGU
rnacentral:piRNA from 1 species